rnacentral:misc_RNA from 1 species
AACGCACAUUGCGCCCGCCGGUAUCCCGGCGGGCAUGCCUGUUCGAGCGUCAUUUCAACCCUCAGGCUCCGCCUGGUGUUGGGGACCUGCGCCGCAGCCCCCUAAAGUCAGCGGCGGGUGCGCCUUCGUACCGAACGCAGUAGCCUAUCUCGUUCUGGUGACGGGCGCUCUCCGGCCGUAAAACACGGACGACAGUCCAUCCAUGGUUGACCUCGGAUCAGGUAGGAAUACCCGCUGAACUUAA